rnacentral:rRNA from 1 species
AGCGAACGCUGGCGGCAUGCCUAACACAUGCAAGUCGAACGAGACCUUCGGGUCUAGUGGCGCACGGGUGCGUAACGCGUGGGAACCUGCCCUUAGGUUCGGAAUAACUCCCCGAAAGGGGUGCUAAUACCGGAUAAUGUCUUCGGACCAAAGAUUUAUCGCCUUUGGAUGGGCCCGCGUUGGAUUAGCUAGUUGGUAGGGUAAAAGCCUACCAAGGCGACGAUCCAUAGCUGGUCUGAGAGGAUGAUCAGCCACACUGGGACUGAGACACGGCCCAGACUCCUACGGGAGGCAGCAGUGGGGAAUAUUGGACAAUGGGCGAAAGCCUGAUCCAGCAAUGCCGCGUGAGUGAUGAAGGCCUUAGGGUUGUAAAGCUCUUUUACCCGGGAUGAUAAUGACAGUACCGGGAGAAUAAGCGCCGGCUAACUCCGUG